rnacentral:rRNA from 1 species
GGUCUCCGUUGGUGAACCAGCGGAGGGAUCAUUAGCGAGUCUUUUUUUAAGCUCCAAACCCCUGUGAACAAGUCCCUAAAGACGCUGUCUCGGCGGGUAAGUUGGUUUUGUUGGUGGGUUCGUCCCCCGCAAGCCAGCGUGCCCGGCCGGUUUUAGGCCUGGCGCCCGCCGGAGGUAGCAACCAAAAAAACUCUUUUUUUUUACAAUUAUAUCAAUAGCUCAAACAAGAAAUUAAGCAAAACUUUCAACAACGGAUCUCUUGGCUCUGGCAUCGAUGAAGAACGCAGCGAAAUGCGAUAAGUAAUGUGAAUUGCAGAAUUCAGUGAAUCAUCGAAUCUUUGAACGCACAUUGCACCCAGUGGCAUUCCGCUGGGUAUGCCUGUUCGAGCGUCAUUUCAAUCCUCAGGCCCUCUGGUUUUUGCUCUUUGGGGCUAGCCGUGGGCACUGGUGUUGGGGAACUGCAGCGCCUCCGGGCGGCUUGCAGUCUCUUAAAUUGAACGGCGUGCUCGCUGUCCAACUCUUUGCGUAGUGGUAUUCUCAAAUAUUUCCGCACCGAGUUACGGCGUAGCAUGGCCGCUAAACUACUUUUUUAGUACCAAAAAAAAGCUUGACCUCGAAUCAGGUAGGGUUACCCGCUGAACUUAAGCAUAUCAAUAAGCGGAGGAAAAGAAACC